AUGAAACACUUCAUUUCACAGUUCAGUUUAUGUCGAAUUGAAUACUUAGUUAACACAUCUCGUGCCUGGGAGAGUUUGCGCGCGCGUGUGUGUGUGUGUGUGUGUGUGUGUGUGUGUGUGUGUGUGUGUGUGUGUGUGUGUGUGUGUGUGUGUGUGUGUGUGUGUGUGUGUGUGUGUGAAAUAGGUAGAGAGAGUAUUGUAAAUAUUGUAAUUUUCUCCAUAUUUGUUGGUUUGUCUCCAUCUUUUGCUCAUUCCUUUUAUCUUUCUUUGCCUCUCUCUUAUCCCUCUGAUGUGUCGUCCUGCAGGGUGACCAAGGGUCUCCUGGCCCCAGAGGCCCUCCUGGAAACACAGGAAAAGACGGGCCCCGUGGCCCGGCUGGAGAACAGGGUUUCCCUGGUCGCGAUGGUAUGGAGGUGAGUCUGAUUUUUAUACACAUUUUAAUGUUUCUUUGUGUUUUUGACUGUUUUACUAGUACACAAGCGUGUUAUAUAGUACUGUACCUAGAGUCAUGUUAUUUAGUUUCGUGCACUAGCAGAUACAGAAGAGUUUAGAGAUGAUGCACCAACUACAUCUCUGUCAUUCACAGGGCCAUGCAGGUUCACCUGGAAAGCCAGUAAGUCUCCAAGUUCCUACACACACUACAUAGCACAGUGGUACACAUAUAAGCAUAUAUAAAGUACACUUUAAAUACAUGAAGUUUAUACCUGCAUAGAUGCCUAUGUAUGCAAUGAGGUAGACGCUGGAGUAUUGACCAUUGUUGACCCCUGUGCACUCUCAGGGUGAAGAUGGUCAAGCAGGAUACGCAGGACCACAGGGACCCCCAGGGUCAAAGGUGAUGAUGCUAAUGCUAACACCCCUUCUCUUUUUUAUCUUUGUCAGACUAGCAACAGACCACCUGUAUUUUAUUCUC
rnacentral:lncRNA from 8 species